CUUCAAACUAUAUUGUCAAGAAGUAAAGGUUUAUGUUCAAGUGGAAAAGUAAUCGUGGUCUUAUUUUUUUUCACUAGAUUGUCAACGUUCAUAGGUUUUCUUGACAUACAUUCAUAUACAUAAGGCUGCUUAUUAAUGGUUCAUACUUUUCUUCUUUGCUAUUCAGUCUGCUUUCUAUUUUUGCAUCCACACACACACAUUCUGAAUCAGCAAACAAUGGGGAAAAAAAAAAAAAAAAAAAAAAAA
rnacentral:misc_RNA from 1 species